rnacentral:rRNA from 1 species
AUUGAACGCUGGCGGCAGGCCUAACACAUGCAAGUCGAACGAGUGGCGGACGGGUGCGUAAUGUCGGGGAAACUGCCUGAUGGAGGGGGAUAACUACUGGAAACGGUAGCUAAUACCGCAUACCAUCAGAUGUGCCCAGAUGGGAUUAGCUUGUUGGGGGGGUAAAGGAUCACCAAGGCGACGAUCCCUAGCUGGUCUGAGAGAGUGACCGACAACACUGGAACUGAGACCCGGUCCAGACUCCUACGUGAGGCAGCAGUGGGGAAUAUUGCACAAUGGGCGCAAGCCUGAUGCAGCCAUGCCGUGUGUAUGAAGAAGGCCUUCGGGUUGUAAAGUACUUUCAGCGGGGAGGCGUUACCCGCAGAAGAAGCACCGGCUAACUCCGUGCCAACAGCCGCGGUAAUAC